UACGGAGGGUGCAAGCGUUAUCCGGAUUCACUGGGUUUAAAGGGUGCGUAGGAGGGCAGGUAAGUCAGUGGUAAAAUCCCCGAGCUUAACUUGGGAACUGCCGUUGAUACUAUCUGUCUUGAAUAUUGUGGAGGUGAGCGGAAUAUGUCAUGUAGCGGUGAAAUGCUUAGAUAUGACAUAGAACACCAAUUGCGAAGGCAGCUCGCUACACAUAUAUUGACUCUGAGGCACGAAAGCGUGGGGAUCAAACAGG
rnacentral:rRNA from 1 species